CAGAGCGUAGCUAAAUAAGAAAAGCAUCUCCCUUACACCGAGAAGGUAUCCGUGCAAUUCGGAUCGUUCUGA
rnacentral:tRNA from 1 species